UUAGCCAACCAAAAUGGCAGUACAGGCUCCGACCGAGGACUGAGGAAGCUUAGGAUGACUAAUAAGAAUGGUUGCGGCGAGUGUUUUGUUGUGGAAGUAUUAGAAGAAUGUGUAAGAAACAUACGGUGCUCAUGAUGCAACUUCCUGGAUGGUGUGUAAAUUGUUUAUCAGCAUGUGAAAUCCACAUGAUUGAAGGAGAAGUCUUCCUUGUUAAAGAUCAGCAACGGCAGAUAAACAAUUCAUGAUGCAAUCUGCUCACUAAAAAGAUUACACCAAUACAUCCCAUGACAUGUAUUUCUACCUGUCACCUAUGUAACCUUUGUCAUGCUCUUCAGAGAGUCAUCGACAGGAAAAGGAAUUACCGGUCUACUGCAUGUUGACAGCUGAUACUUGUUCUCUAUUUACUCCAAGAGGCCUACUACACAUUGUACCUCAGUUAUGACUGUACUCGUACUGGCUUCUAUGAUGUUAUUUUCCUUUACCUGCACUGUGUUAAACUUGGUCAAUUCUGUUACUGUCGAACACCAACAGAUGAAAAUAAGAUUAAGCUGAUCCUGCCAACAUUGUGACAUAAGCGGUCCAAUGUCCAAUAUCUCACUCUGCAGUCAAACAUUGGAAAUGUUAGACUUUUUUAGUAUUGAUUUAUAUAGUUACAUAUUUUAAAAGUAAUAACAAUUCUUUUUAUGCCCCCGGAUCGAAAGAUCCCGGGGGUAUAUUGUUUUUGUCCUGUCUGUCUGUUUGUCUGUCUGUCAACUUUAACCUUGCCCAUAACUUUUGAUUUGUUGGAGCUAUUACUUUCAUAUUUCACAUGUGUAUUUCUUGUGACAAGACCUUUCUUUGGGUACCAUCAUAUUUGACCUUUUGACCUUGACCUUAGAGUUUGACCCACUUUUGCAAAAUUUUAUGAGACUUUAACCUUGGCCAUAACUUCUGAACAGUUGGUGCUUGGGGUUUCAAACUUCACAUGUGUAUUCUUUGUGACAAGGCCUUCCUUUGGAUACCAACAAUUGACCUUGACCUAGGAGUUUGACCUACUUUCGAAAAACUUUAACCUUGGCCAUAACUUUUGAAUGGUUAAUGCUAGGGCUUUCAUACUUCACAUAUGUAAUCCUUGUGACAUCACCUUCCUUUGAAUACCAACCACUUUGACCCUUUGACCUUGACAUAGGAGUUUGAACUACUUUUGAAAAACUUUAACCUUGGCCAUAAUUUUUGAAUGGUUGGUGCUAGGGCUUUCAUACUUCACAUAUGUAAUCCUUGUGACAAGACCUUCCUUUGGAUACCAACCACUUUGAUGUUUUGACCUUGACAUAGGAGUUUGACCUACUUUUGAAAAACUUUAACCUUGGCCAUAACUUUUAAAUGGUUGCAGCUAGGGCUUUCAUACUUCACAUAUGUAAUCCUUGUGACAAGACCUUCCUUUGGAUACCAACAACUUUGACCUUGACCUUAAUGUUUUACUGACUUUUAAAAAACUUUAACCUUCGCCAUAACUUUUGAACAGUUGCAGCUAGGGCUUUCAAAUUUAACAUUUUUUAUCUUUUGGCCUGGAUUUUGACUUGCAUUUGAGAAACUUUAACCUUCGCCAUAAGCUGCCAUACGGGGGCAUCAGUGUUUCACAAACACAUCUUGUUAUUGAUGUAUGUUUAAGUAUGCAAAAAUGAACAUUGAUGAUAUUAAAGGUGAGGUAUUUAUUUGUGAUUUCUCUUCUGAAUAAAAUUUUAUAUCAAUAA